rnacentral:rRNA from 1 species
GCAGGCCUAACACAUGCAAGUUCGAGCGGAAACGAUGGGAGCUUGCUCCCAGGCGUCGAGCGGCGGACGGGUGAGUAACACGUGGGAAUCUGCCCAUUAGUGGGGGAUAACUCGGGGAAACUCGAGCUAAUACCGCAUAAUCCCUACGGGGGAAAGCAGGGGAUCUUCGGACCUUGCGCUGAUGGAUGAGCCCGCGUCGGAUUAGCUUGUUGGUGGGGUAAUGGCCCACCAAGGCGACGAUCCGUAACUGGUCUGAGAGGAUGGCCAGUCACACCGGGACUGAGACACGGCCCGGACUCCUACGGGAGGCAGCAGUGGGGAAUCUUGGACAAUGGGCGCAAGCCUGAUCCAGCCAUGCCGCGUGUGUGAAGAAGGCCUUCGGGUUGUAAAGCACUUUCAGUAGGGAGGAAGGCUUUGGGCUAAUACCCUGGAGUACUUGA